rnacentral:rRNA from 1 species
AUUGAACGCUGGCGGAAUGCUUUACACAUGCAAGUCGAGCGGCAGCACGGGGGCAACCCUGGUGGCGAGCGGCGAACGGGUGAGUAACACAUCGGAACAUGCCCAGUCGUGGGGGAUAACACUUCGAAAGAAGUGCUAAUACCGCAUACGUCCUGAGGGCGAAAGCGGGGGAUCGCAAGACCUCGCGCGAUUGGAGUGGCCGAUGUCAGAUUAGCUAGUUGGUGGGGUAAAGGCCUACCAAGGCAACGAUCUGUAGCUGGUCUGAGAGGAUGAUCAGCCACACUGGGACUGAGACACGGCCCAGACUCCUACGGGAGGCAGCAGUGGGGAAUUUUGGACAAUGGGGGCAACCCUGAUCCAGCCAUUCCGCGUGAGUGAAGAAGGCCUUCGGGUUGUAAAGCUCUUUCGGCAGGAACGAAACGGUGAGCUCUAACAUAGCUUGCUAAUGACGGUACCUGAAAAAGAAGCACCGGCUAACUACGUG